rnacentral:lncRNA from 1 species
CCUGCCCCGCCACCUCUGCUCCUGCCCAGACCUUCUGGAACCAUCUCCCCGCUCCGUGUCCUCUAACACUUUCAGGCAUCGACCUCCGCCAGGCGCUCUGACGAGACUGCCCCUGGGGGCGCUCUGAGCGGGGCGAAACCUUCUGGAAGCCGCGCAAAGCCUGAUGGGAGACGCCCCUCAGUGCUUCUGGGUGGAGUGUGGGCGCCGAGCCUGAGCGACCUGUCCUCACACACCCGCGGCGGUUGCACUACCUAUAGCCUGUGGAACCCCCUGGAGGUCGUGUCCGGGAAGGUGCCAGAAGGUUCAAGCCCCCACAGAGAUGAUGCUCCUCUUUGCCUUCCUCCUCUUCAUGGGAUGGCCACUGGGCUUCGUUGAGCCCUCUCAGAGCCUGCGCUGCUACUCCUGUGGGACCCUCGGCAAAUUUAGCGUUCCCAACCAUUGCCCGACAAGUGAAUGCGACUCAAAUUCCACUGUCUGCUACACGGGCAACCUGAGCAUGAUCGUGGAAGCAGGUGAGUCCCUGGCAUCCAGAGUGGGAGGAUUGAUAGAGGGGGUUCCUCAGAGAAGCAAGGGGCCAAUGGCAGUGUCCCCUGGGGCAGAGCCCUGCCCUGCACCAGCCUUCCUCCGUGUCCUUAUCAGUACAGAGACGGGCUAGCUCCAGCAGCCACCUGUGUCGGGAGAUGGUGGUGCUUGGUGGGACAGGAUGGGAAUUUCAGCAGGGAAACAGGGGGCCCAGCGCAUCAGAGGAGAGAGUUAGGACAGUCAACCCCAGGAGGGUCAGAGGGGACGCCACCGCAGAUGCCUCAUUUUUUGCCCACAGACAUGAUUGAAUUGGAUAUCAGGGGCUGUGUCUCUUCCUGCCAGAUGCCUACAGAGUUCAUUAAGAGAUUGAUAGCCACAUCUAAAGCUAAAUUUGAAGAGUGGAACGUGAUCUGCUGUGAAAAGGACCUGUGUAACGGGUGGUCCGAGCAAGGCCCAACCCCUGUGCCUUGACCAGAGGGCCCCUUCCCCGUCUGGGCUCCACCCUCCUCCGGCCCUGUGAGGAGCCCCGGGGCUCAGACUCAGAGGGAAGGGGCACCAUUCACCAGCAUGGCGCCAAUCCAGCACACCCUCACGCACCCACACACACAUGCACUCAGACUGUCCUGGGAUGGGUCCCCACCGCAGGGCCCGGUCCUGGGACCACCCACUGCCCACUCCACUGGCCAGCCCAGCCCCAGGUGGCCUGUAGUCCACCUCAGCAAAAAUAAAUGCCUUCCACAACAUCUUGUCCUUUGCAUCUGUUCAGUCCAGAAGUGGUGGGGGUCCCUGUCACCUGCUUGAAGGGAGGAUCUGUUUCAAUCCUGGGCAGGUUGAGCUCCUAGGGCUGUGGGUAUACCAGGGGUGCUGGUCCUGCAGGGGUCAGCUCUUACAGGAGUCAGGGUACCCACUCUUCCACCUGAAGCAUUUCCUCUUCCGCAGCAGAGUGGGAGGGGACCAAACUUCUCUGCCUUCUUCACUCCCUCAGCUGAGAAAAGGGAGACUCAACCACAACCUGUGAACACAAGCAGCCCUCGCAGACCUGUAG